CAGCCAAGCCAUCACCACCUGUGUUUGCUGUCCCUGCAGAGUGACCUUUUGGGGGGCUGAGCUCCAUGCAAAUGGGAUGAGUUGACAGCGCAUGAAAUACGGUGAAUUAAUGAGCAUUUCAUUGCCACUAGACGUGAGGCCGAAGGUCAAGGGCCAUUAAUAGAACUAGGCAUGAAUUCAUGCUUCAUAAUACACGCAUCCCAAGCCUUCCUACAAACGGAACAUUUUAUUCCAAAAUGUUUUAAUUAUUUACAUCUUGAUUGACUGAUAGAGAAGGGAAUUCAUUGAAGAGGCUGAAAUUCUUCAUGUAAGGCAGAAAUGCGUUCAUAGGAGCGAUCCAUUCAACUUCAUCAGCCUUGGGAAACCUUUUACAAGGAAGGAGAGAUGAAAACUCUGGCCUGGGUAGCUGAGAAAAUGCAAUGAAAUUGGGUUUUCCUAUUGCAUCUUCUCCAGUGCAGCUGAGCUGGGGGCUCCAGAGAUCCCACCUGUACCCAGAAGCAAUGCAGGCACUUCCCAUGCACUCAGCAUUGGGUGGCUGCUUGGAAGGGUUUCAGAUCCAACAUCUGCACAGGAC
ensembl:lncRNA